rnacentral:rRNA from 1 species
GAUGAACGCUGGCGGCGUGCCUAAUACAUGCAAGUCGAGCGAACUGAUUAGAAGCUUGCUCCUAUGACGUUAGCGGCGGACGGGUGAGUAACACGUGGGCAACCUGCCUGUAAGACUGGGAUAACUUCGGGAAACCGAAGCUAAUACCGGAUAGGAUCCUCUCCUUCAUGGGAGAUGACUGAACGAUGGUUUCGGCUAUCACUUACAGAUGGGCCCGCGGUGCAUUAGCUAGUUGGUGAGGUAACGGCUCACCAAGGCAACGAUGCAUAGCCGACCUGAGAGGGUGAUCGGCCACACUGGGACUGAGACACGGCCCAGACUCCUACGGGAGGCAGCAGUAGGGAAUCUUCCGCAAUGGACGAAAGUCUGACGGAGCAACGCCGCGUGAGUGAUGAAGGCUUUCGGGUCGUAAAACUCUGUUGUUAGGGAAGAACAAGUACAAGAGUAACUGCUUGUACCUUGACGGUACCUAACCAGAAAGCCACGGCUAACUACGUGCCAGCCGCCGCCGUAA